rnacentral:lncRNA from 1 species
ACGAACAAAUAAAUAAACGAAUAGAUAAAUAAACGAAUAGAUAGAAUAGAAAAGAGAAUGAAUCUUAAGUGCGCUUAAACAAAUAUAUAUACGAGGACGCACAUAUUAUAUAUAUAUAUAUGCAUGUACUUACAUGCACAUAUUUAACACUUAUGUAUGCAAUUAUAUUGCACACAUCUAACAAUGAAAACAGAGUUAACAAAUUAAUAUUAUACAAAUAUACCUUAGUAAAAAAGAAAGCUAAAAAAAAAAAAAAAAAAAAAUAAUUAUAACAGUGAUUAUCUUAUUGGAAAAUUGUUGUUACUUAAAAAUUCAAAAAUUUAGUAAUAUGCAUGUAUAAAUGUGUACUGUGAAGUGUUUUCAAACUAUACACAAUCAAACUUAAAUAUUUUAUACAUAAAAAUAUAUACAUAUAUAUGUAUAUAUUGUAAAUGGAAAAAAUGUACUUAUAAACGUUUUAUAUGUAAUAAUGCAAACGUACAACUAUGAUUCGGCAAGCGUUUUUUUAAAAUAACUGGACCAAAUAAUAUGGAUUUGAAACAAUCCACAAAUAAAAAAUAUGAAGGUACAUUUUUGAAAAACAAAUGUGUGCCAAUAAAAAUAUUAUAACAUAAUGCUAUUAUUAUUAUUAUUAUCAUUUUUUCUGAUUUAUAAAAGUUAUAACAAUUCUUUUUUUUGCAUAAAAUUAAUAAAAAAAUUCCCUGCGUUUGUGCCAGUAUCUGUAGGUCACACAGAAAACAAUUAUAAUAAUAUAAAUUAUAAGCAUGUCAAACCAUACUACAUAAGUAAAAAACAAAACAAGCACUACUUCAGAAUUAAAGGUGCUUUUAAAUUGCGAACGCACGGUGAUAAAAAUGGUGAUAAAUAUGGUGAUAAAUAUGGUGAUAAAUAUGGUGAUAACGUUUGGGUACCAUAUGAAAGCAAAGUAAAAGAAGGACACCGAUAUAAUAUAUACGAUGAAGCAAAACAAAUAAAUGAUAACGAAAUUGAUUUACAAAAUUCUGAUAAAAUAGAUAGAGAAAAAGGUGAACUUCCACCAUUUAUUUAUGAGGGAGGUAAUGCAUAUGGAGAAAAAGAAGUAAAAGAUUAUGAACCUGAGGUAUAUGAUUUUCAUACAUAUAAUAAAUAUUUUGAAAACUUAUGUAAAAAGAAUAAAGAUAUGAUUUCUUUGUAUCAAUUAGAUAAAAAUUUAUUAGAUGAAAGUUAUUUUGAAGCAAAAAAGGAGGGCCUAAAACUUUUGGCUUUCGCUUUAAACAGAUUCAACCAGUACAAUAUCAUGAAGGUCGAGCUUAUACAUAUUUUUUUAUGCAUUCACAUGAAGUUGAAUUAUGUCCUAUAUUUUUAAAUGCAUUUAGAAGAGUAGCAAUAAAACAUUUAAAAGGUGGAAGAGUUACA